rnacentral:misc_RNA from 1 species
UUUCCGUAGGUGAACCUGCGGAAGGAUCAUCAUUGUAUAACCGAGGUGUGACGGCCGCCGUUGAUCUGAAUGGUCGUGCUCGACGGAGUGUUUUUACACACAUUCAUUUUACCCCGAUGUGCACAACAGCGCGGGUCACCCUCCGGCCUGUUCGGAGGGGGGCAAACGAUCUCACAUAUACUCUGUAUGCAGAGUAGAAUGUAUUUCAAGAAUUUGCGAUCAAGCAUUCAAUACAAAUAUCAAUAACGGAUCAUUUGGCACUCACACAGAUGAAGAACG